UUUAUAGGAUAUUUAACCAAGUAUAAACAAAUGAAAAGCUAAUAAACACUAAAAAGGGGAUAGGGGAGAAAGUAAAAGACUUAGGUCAUUCGGCCCAAAUCAAUGAACCCUGUCCUUAUCUAAUUGGGCUUUCAACCCAUUUUUCACUAGUCCUAAUCUAUGUUUUCAAACCUUUGGCUCGAAUUUGCUUCACUUGUAUUAAAAAGAACUUUGGCUUUGAGGCCCAUAUAAAUACAUAAAUAAAGCAAGAAUAAGAUUGAAACUUUUCGGUCUUCUGGCAAUCUUAUCAACGAGCUUGAACAUGUCUUGCCUUCUACCAUCUUUACUCAUACGACAGGUAGUGCCCCCUUUCGAACCAUCUUUUGAAAUCUUCAAAAGGAUGGGCCUCAAUGGCCCGUUACAAAAUGCAAGGAGGAAAAAGUCCAUUUGGACUCCAACGCAGGUUCAUGCAAAAAAAAAAAAGAUGAAGGGAGAUUAGUGCGCACCCAAAACAUAUAUAAAAUGCACAAGUGUAAAGGAAAAUAAGCAUUUGACUUCAAAAGAGAAAGAACCAAUUUUUUGUAUUCUACAGCUAGAGAACAAAAAUGGAAAUGGGCAAAAAAGAAAAAAGUAAAUUGACUUCAACGAAUAAACAGGAAGAAGUUUGAAAUCAAUUUUAUAGACCCGAAUAAGUAGAAGUAACGAUGAUUUAAGUGUAUUAAAUUAUAAUCAAACAUUUAGGACAAUAACAAGAAAAAUAAGAUACAUUACCUUUCCCUCAAAGUUUCAUCAACCCUUUCUCGGUACAACUGAGGAAAAGCUUAAAAAACACAUAUAUAAACUUAAAAAGAUGACCAAGAUAUCAAGGAAACAAAAUACAUCAUAUUGUAAAAAAAAUAGUUUUGAGGUGAAGUCAGACAUACAUAGAAUUAUGAAAUGCCCAAACAAUUCAACCCAAUGAUGGAACAAUCAAAGACUCAGCGAAGCUCCUUAUUCACAAGACCUUUUCAUCCUUCCUUUAAAAAGUUAAAGAGAUUCACUUCCAAAAUUCAAUAAAAGAGCUUAAAGAUCACUUAAUAUCAAUAUAACAUUCCUUUUGAAAAAUAAUAAUAAUUUCGAAGACUAUUCAAAUUUAACACAUAGGAGGAAAUUAGCAAUGAAUUUAAUCCAGGGCUAAAGGGUUGCGUGAUACUUUUUAAGGUGUAGCUUUGGCAUAGAGACUUAUUUCAUUCUGUUCCUCUCUUGAGUUGGUCCAAUAGAACCUCACACACCAAGAAAGUCAUAGAGGGAUCUUUGAAUGAAAUAUCCCCAUUCUAUAAACCCACUCCACCAUUCUCAUCUACAUUGUGAGUAAAGAAAAUUCAGAGGAGGCUCUAACACACUUGGAGAGAACAAAACAAUCUAAGCAACUACCAAGAGCAAAAUGAAGGAUUCUAAAAGGCUUUUAGGCCGGAACCAUAAAACAAAAAGGGCUAAACAAAUGAGCAUCAUAUAUAUGUAAAAGAAAAUAGAACAUCAACUAAAAAAACCAUUAUGAAAUAGAGGUGACUUCGUAUUUAAGUCCAGCCCUUAUAUGAAAUAGGUUCCAAAACUGAAGCAACAAACUAUCUUCACAUACACCAUAGCCUUUUCCAUCUUAAAGUUUUUAUAACAACUAACUCUCCCUGAAUAAAAUAAACAAUAGACCUAGAGCACAGUUUUCUUGACAAGUAAAACAUCUAUCCAAAUUACCAUACAUAUUCUAACAAAUUGAAGCUUGUAACAUGGAGCAAAUGCUUCAGGGAGAUUCUAUAUAUUAUAAAUAAUUCACAUCAAGGAGAUUUUCCAAUUACUAACCACCAAUAUAUGAAGCAUUACAGACAACAAGCACAAAGCAGGCAGGAUAUAAUAGACUUGGCAAUGAAAACCACUUCAUAAUGGCGCAGAACAAUGGCAGCGAGCACAUCAAUUAGAAUAACAACCAUCACUAACAAAACCUAUGACUAUCAAAGCCAUCUAGAAUAUUCAAUUCCAGCACACCAGGUAUCAAACGACCAUAAAAGUCAUCUACAACAGUCAAUCCCAGCAUAUCAUUAUAACUACUAAUAAGAUAUCAAAAAAAUAAGAAAAGAAUGUCAAAACUAAAAGGGUGAAAGGUUACCUAUUUAGAAGCAUCAAAAUGGGGAUUAAUUCUUCGAUGGAACUUCUACCACCACCGGAAAAGGCUCUACAACUCAGAGAAAACUUUGCGUAAAUGAGAACUUAUCACGAAAAAGUUGUUUUUACUGGAAAAAUAGACUUUUUUCUCAAAAAAACUUUCAACCUUCUCCGACUUCCAUGUUUUUUUUAUCAAGAAUCCCUUUUUAUAGAAGGGAAUUUGGAUUCACAUUUAUGCUCCAACCAAUGUUGGAGAGAUAAUUUUUGGGGUUAAUUCUGGGAUUUCAAAGGGGAAAAUUCAAACUUUGAAUAGGGAUAAGGGGAUGUGCUGUAAAAUUGUUUGAAAAUCGUACAAUUUUGAAAUAGUUGGAUGCAGAGUUGUUGAGGUCGUAUGAUUCCUCAUCACUGGAAUCGCGGGUUGGAGCUGGGUCAGGUUUGAGGUAUUGGGGUUUGCUAGUUGUUGUUCGAAUUGAUGUUGGGUUGAGUUUUUCGUCGGGUCGGGGGUUUGAUCGGAGUUGGGUCAACGAUAUUGAUGGUGUUUGUUGUUGACCGAUGUUGCUGUUUUGUUGGGUUUUUCCAUUUUUGUGCUUAUGGUCGCUGUUAAUAUGUACUGAAUUGUUGAUAGGUAAAGAAGAAAGAAAUGGGCUGGCAGGUCAGGUCAAUUGGGCUUAGACUAAGAGUUGAGCCAUUAGUUAUGGUGGGCUGCUGAUGGGGUUUUAAUUGGAUAGAUUAGGUUUUAGGAUUUUUUAAAAACUAACCCCAAUUAGACUAGGGGUUCAAAAAUUAGUUUCAAUUAGGAAUUAAUCAAUUCUACUUAAAUGACA
rnacentral:lncRNA from 1 species